rnacentral:rRNA from 1 species
CUUGGUCAUUUAGAGGAAGUAAAAGUCGUAACAAGGUCUCCGUAGGUGAACCUGCGGAGGGAUCAUUACAGGUGACCCCGGUCUAACCACCGGGAUGUUCAUAACCCUUUGUUGUCCGACUCUGUUGCCUCCGGGGCGACCCUGCCUUCGGGCGGGGGCUCCGGGUGGACACUUCAAACUCUUGCGUAACUUUGCAGUCUGAGUAAACUUAAUUAAUAAAUUAAAACUUUUAACAACGGAUCUCUUGGUUCUGGCAUCGAUGAAGAACGCAGCGAAAUGCGAUAAGUAAUGUGAAUUGCAGAAUUCAGUGAAUCAUCGAAUCUUUGAACGCACAUUGCGCCCCCUGGUAUUCCGGGGGGCAUGCCUGUUCGAGCGUCAUUUCACCACUCAAGCCUCGCUUGGUAUUGGGCAACGCGGUCCGCCGCGUGCCUCAAAUCGACCGGCUGGGUCUUCUGUCCCCUAAGCGUUGUGGAAACUAUUCGCUAAAGGGUGCUCGGGAGGCUACGCCGUAAAACAAACCCAUUUCUAAGGUUGACCUCGGAUCAGGUAGGGAUACCCGCUGAACUUAAGCAUAUCAAUAAGCGGAGGA